CCUACGGGUGGCAGCAGCAAGGAAUUUUGUGCAAUGGGCGAAAGCCUGACACAGCGACGCCGCGUGGGGGAUGAAGGUUUUCGGGUUGUAAACCCCUUUUCUCAGGGAGGAAAAAUGACAGUACCUGGGGAAUAAGCCAUGGCUAACUACGUGCCAGCAGCCGCGGUAAUACGUAGGUGGCGAGCGUUAUCCGGAUUUACUGGGCGUAAAGCGGGUGCAGGCGGUCUUUCAAGUCGGAUGUAAAAUCUCCCGGCUCAACUGGGAGGGAUCAUUCGAUACUGUUGGGCUAGAGGGCAGCAGGGGAAGGUGGAAUUCCCGGUGUAGUGGUGAAAUGCGUAGAUAUCGGGAGGAACACCAGUGGCGAAGGCGGCCUUCUGGGUUGUUUCUGACGCUGAUGCCCGAAGGUGUGGGGAGCAAACAGGAUUAGAUACCCUAGUAGUCC
rnacentral:rRNA from 1 species